UACGAAGGGGGCUAGCGUUACUCGGAUUGACUGGGCGUAAAGGGUGCGUAGGUGGUCGGGUAAGUCUGAUGUGAAAUCUUCGAGCUCAACUCGAAAAUGGCAUUGGAUACUAUUCGGCUGGAGGGUUGGAAGGGGGACUGGAAUUCUCGGUGUAGCAGUGAAAUGCGUAGAUAUCGAGAGGAACACCGGUGGCGAAGGCGAGUCCCUGGACAAUUCCUGACACUGAGGCACGAAAGCUAGGGGAGCAAACAGG
rnacentral:rRNA from 1 species